rnacentral:rRNA from 1 species
CGGGAGGCUGCAGCAGUGGGGAAUAUUGGACAAUGGGGGAAACCCUGAUCCAGCAAUGCCGCGUGUGUGAAGAAGGCCUGCGGGUUGUAAAGCACUUUCGGUUGGGAGGACUGCUUCUAGCACUAAUAUUGUUGGAAGUUGACGUUACCUUCAGAAGAAGCACCGGCUAACUCCGUGCCAGCAGCCGCGGUAAUACGGGGGGUGCAAGCGUUAAUCGGAAUUACUGGGCGUAAAGCGCGCGUAGGCGGCUAGAUCAGUCGGGUGUGAAAGCCCCGGGCUUAACCUGGGAACUGCAUCCGAUACUGUCUAGCUUGAGUACAGGAGAGGAGAGUGGAAUUCCACAUGUAGCGGUGAAAUGCGUAGAUAUGUGGAGGAACACCAAUGGCGAAGGCAGCCCUCUGGCCUGAUACUGACGCUGAGGUGCGAAAGCGUGGGGAGCAAACAGGAUUAGAUACCCGCGUAGUC